AGGAAAGCAGGGGAUCGUCAAGACCUUGCGUUAAUGGAGCGGCCGAUAUCUGAUUAGCUAGUUGGUGGGGUAAAGGCCCACCAAGGCUUCGAUCAGUAGCUGGUCUGAGAGGACGACCAGCCACACUGGAACUGAGACACGGUCCAGACUCCUACGGGAGGCAGCAGUGGGGAAUUUUGGACAAUGGGCGCAAGCCUGAUCCAGCCAUUCCGCGUGAGUGAAGAAGGCCUUCGGGUUGUAAAGCUCUUUCGCAAGGGAAGAAAACUUACUUUCUAAUAAAGGGUGAGGCUGACGGUACCUUGAUAAGAAGCACCGGCUAACUACGUGCCAGCAGCCGCGGUAAUACGUAGGGUGCGAGCGUUAAUCGGAAUUACUGGGCGUAAAGCGUGCGCAGGCGGUUUUGUAAGUCAGAUGUGAAAGCCCCGGGCUCAACCUGGGAACUGCGUUUGAAACUACAAAGCU
rnacentral:rRNA from 1 species